rnacentral:lncRNA from 1 species
AAAUAUUACGCAGAUCAUAAAUGACAAAAAGAAAUUUUUUUUCCUCCUAUUUUCAUAUUCUGGUGGCUGCGAUGAUCCACGCAGCAUCAGAUAGCAUAUACAAACAAAUUGGAGUUUUGAACGCACAUCCCAAAAUAAAAGUCGAAUCUUUAUGUGUUCGCUGUAAAGCAAAUCUUGAUUUUGUAAAAUAAAAACAUGCCCCCGAAAAUGUAACAUAAAAAACCCUAAUCUGCAGACCGCGAAAGAAAUAGAAAACAAACAUAAAUAAAUAAAUAAAACAAAAGCAAUUAAUGUUGAUGAUGAGAGCGACAGACAUAUAAGGAUUCUAAGUUCUGACCUUUCCUCUUUGUUAGUCUGUUUUUUUUCUUUUUCUUUUCAAGACCAGGGCCGGAUCUAAAGCUCUAUCAAGCAAGUUCGGGGUGAUGAGAUCUGUUUGAUUAAGACGGGAUCAGCCUGCCUGCCUUCCUUCUCAGAUGAGAAAAGAAUGAAAAGUCCUUCGGCACAAGUACUUGUUUCUGGACGCAGAUUAGACCGACAGAGGGAUCGAAUUGGCUGUGUGUCGCUGCCCCCUCUCUCGCUCUCGCCCCGCCAUCUGCACCACCACCACCAUAGAUGUGUGAGGAAGAAAAAGACAGGUACGGAUAGACAGUUGUCUAAAUUUACGUUCAUACCCCCACUAUUCAUGAAAACAUCCAAAGUAGUAUUUUUCCCAUUU